AACGAACGCUGGCGGCAUGCCUAACACAUGCAAGUCGAACGAGAUCUUCGGGUCUAGUGGCGCACGGGUGCGUAACGCGUGGGAAUCUGCCCUUUGGUUCGGAAUAACAGUUGGAAACGACUGCUAAUACCGGAUGAUGACGAAAGUCCAAAGAUUUAUCGCCAGAGGAUGAGCCCGCGUAGGAUUAGCUAGUUGGUGUGGUAAAGGCGCACCAAGGCGACGAUCCUUAGCUGGUCUGAGAGGAUGAUCAGCCACACUGGGACUGAGACACGGCCCAGACUCCUACGGGAGGCAGCGGUGGGGAAUAUUGGACAAUGGGCGAAAGCCUGAUCCAGCAAUGCCGCGUGAGUGAUGAAGGCCUUAGGGUUGUAAAGCUCUUUUACCCGGGAUGAUAAUGACAGUACCGGGAGAAUAAGCUCCGGCUGACUCCGUGCCAGCCGCCGCGGUAA
rnacentral:rRNA from 1 species